AGGACGACACAAUUGAGUCGCGAAGAGAAGUUGUGAUCAGAGGACUGGUGAAUACACUGGAGAGUUAAUGAAAGACUACCAGGUUAUUAAUGACGACGAUGCUGCGACCAUCCAAGAAGCUAUUACUACAUUUGCCCUCGGCAUCUUUGUUGUCAGCAAAGCCGGGGAUGGUCUCCCCAAGCAAGCUGGAAUAGCCAUCGAGGGACCUUUUUGGUAUCCCAGAUGUGGCACAUGCUUGCACCUAUCUGAUGGGCCUUAUCUAUGCCUUGGAACUGAGGUACCCUAAUAAACUGAAAUACACGUUUGAGGUCUUUCAGAAGAUUUUCCUAGAGCUAGAGGAUGCAAACCAAAAACUGUCCUCCAAAGUCCAUGAUCUCAAGGUCUGUUUGCAAGCUUAAAAUCUAUACAGAUGGUGUAUACAGUAGAAUGUAUUUUGAUUUGUUUGUAAUAGAAUGUAUUUUGAUUUGUUCUUUUGGCUUUUGUCAAAUAAAUUUAUUUAUUUGAGCUAAAUGACUUCCGUGUCUUGUUUUGGGUUAAGAUGCAUAAUUAUAUCUGAGAUUGUUUGACUCAUGUGGGUUGCUAAGUUUCCAGUGUUGGGCUGCAACCAAUUAAUUAAUCUGUCGAUAGUCUUGAUAAAUUGAUUUGUGGAUUCGUCCAUACAAUGUAAGGAAAUGGUGAAAAAUCGAUCACUCUUUCCCAAAGCCCAAGCUGCAACCUAAAAUGUCUUGUUUUGUCCUGAUCACCAGUUCUCAAUUUAAAACAUUUACAUCAGAGAAUCUGGGAUUCUUCUU